CCUACGGGAGGCAGCAGUGAGGAAUAUUGGUCAAUGGCCGAGAGGCUGAACCAGCCAAGUCGCGUGAGGGAAGACGGCCCUACGGGUUGUAAACCUCUUUUGUCGGGGAGCAAAGCGAACCACGUGUGGUUCAUUGAGAGUACCCGAAGAAAGAGCAUCGGCUAACUCCGUGCCAGCAGCCGCGGUAAUACGGAGGAUGCGAGCGUUAUCCGGAUUUAUUGGGUUUAAAGGGAGCGUAGGCCGCAUGUCAAGCGUGCUGUGAAAGGUCCGGGCUCAACCCGGGCCUUGCAGCGCGAACUGGCGGGCGUGAGUCCGCGGAAGGCAGGCGGAAUUCGUCGUGUAGCGGUGAAAGGCUUAGAUAUGACGAAGAACCCCGAUUGCGAAGGCAGCUUGCUGCAGCGGAACUGACGCUGAUGCUCGAAAGCGCGGGUAUCGAACAGGAUUAGAUACCCGUGUAGUC
rnacentral:rRNA from 1 species